rnacentral:rRNA from 1 species
CCAUGCGGCAGCUACCAUGCAGUCGAACGGCAGCACAGUAAGAGCUUGCUCUUAUGGGUGGCGAGUGGCGGACGGGUGAGGAAUACAUCGGAAUCUACUCUUUCGUGGGGGAUAACGUAGGGAAACUUACGCUAAUACCGCAUACGACCUACGGGUGAAAGCGGAGGACCUUCGGGCUUCGCGCGGUUGAAUGAGCCGAUGUCGGAUUAGCUAGUUGGCGGGGUAAAGGCCCACCAAGGCGACGAUCCGUAGCUGGUCUGAGAGGAUGAUCAGCCACACUGGAACUGAGACACGGUCCAGACUCCUACGGGAGGCAGCAGUGGGGAAUAUUGGACAAUGGGCGCAAGCCUGAUCCAGCCAUGCCGCGUGGGUGAAGAAGGCCUUCGGGUUGUAAAGCCCUUUUGUUGGGAAAGAAAAGCAGUCGGUUAAUACCCGAUUGUUCUGACGGUACCCAAAGAAUAAGCACCGGCUAACUUCGUGCCAGCAGCCGCGGUAAUACGAAGGGUGCAAGCGUUACUCGGAAUUACUGGGCGUAAAGCGUGCGUAGGUGGUGGUUUAAGUCUGUUGUGAAAGCCCUGGGCUCAACCUGGGAAUUGCAGUGGAUACUGGGUCACUAGAGUGUGGUAGAGGGUAGCGGAAUUCCCGGUGUAGCAGUGAAAUGCGUAGAGAUCGGGAGGAACAUCCGUGGCGAAGGCGGCUACCUGGAUCAACACUGACACUGAGGCACGAAAGCGUGGGGAGCAAACAGGAUUAGAUACCCUGGUAGUCCACGCCCUAAACGAUGCGAACUGGAUGUUGGGUGCAAUUUGGCACGCAGUAUCGAAGCUAACGCGUUAAGUUCGCCGCCUGGGGAGUACGGUCGCAAGACUGAAACUCAAAGGAAUUGACGGGGGCCCGCACAAGCGGUGGAGUAUGUGGUUUAAUUUCGAUGCAACGCGAAGAACCUUACCUGGUCUUGACAUCCACGGAACUUUCCAGAGAUGGAUUGUGCCUUCGGGAACCGUGAGACAGGUGCUGCAUGGCUGUCGUCAGCU